GACUGACGGGGUCGUGUUGUGCCAUCUGGCCAACCACGUGCGUCCCCGAUCCAUACCGAGCAUCCAUGUACCCUCACCAGCAGUGCCCAAACUGACGAUGGCCAAGUGUCGACGAAAUGUGGAGAACUUCCUAGAGGCGUGCCGCAGAAUUGGAGUUCCUCAGGAUAGCUUGUGUUCAGCGGGUGACGUGCUGAAAGGGGAGGUGGUCUGUGUGUUCAGGCUGGUCCAGGCCUUGCUCUCCCUGGCACCGCCUCCCCUUCACUCCGCCCCUUCUACCCAGCUGGCUGGAUUUGCCCUUUUCUACCUGUCAAUCAUGUCGCUGCUAUGUGCUCUCUACUGCCACCUGGUGCCAACCCAUUAAAUGGCUUUUCCAUAUUGAUCACUGCACUAAAAUAGCCAAUUGUUUGUGUGUUUGAGCAGAAUUACACAAUAGGUGGUGUUUAUGCGCACAGAUAUUACAUUUAUAGUGUUUUCUAGUGAUACUUUGCUAAGCUCCGCCCCCUUUGUGUAAUGUUGCCUGCUUUUGACAAGCUUUAUAUAAUUGCUUUCAUGCAAAUUUCAGUAAAGUGUGCUGAUAAAAUGGGACAAAUUGAUUGAAUGGUAUUAUUGCAUAGACUGGAAAGAAUUGUGAUGAAAGAAUGUGCCAUUUCUUUAAAGGAAAUUAAAUUGCACUACUGUUCAGUUUGAGGUAAAAUAUUUAUUUUUUAAUAUUUUUGAA